rnacentral:lncRNA from 1 species
UAGUUAUUCAGAUAUUACAGGGUUUAAGUAGUUAUUGAGAUAUUACAGGGUUUUAGUAGUUAUUGAUAUAUUACAGGUCAGGGUUUUAGUAGGUAUUGAGAUAUUACAGGGUUUUAGUAGUUAUUGAUAUAUUACAGGUCAGGGUUUUAGUAGGUAUUGAGAUAUUACACGUUUUAGUAGUUAUUGACAUAUUACAUGUCAGGGUUUUAGUAGUUAUUGAGAUAUUACAGGUCAGGGUUUUAGUAGUUAUUGAGAUAUUACAGGGUUUUAGUAGUUAUUGAGAUAUUACACGUUUUAGUAGUUAUUGAGAUAUUACACGUUUUAGUAGUUAUUGAGAUAUUACAGGGUUUUAGUAGUUAUUGAGAUAUUACAGGUUUUAGUAGUUAUUGAGAUAUUACAGGUCAGGGUUUUAGUAGUUAUUGAUAUAUUACAGGGUUUUAGUAGUUAUUGAGAUAUUACAGGGUUUUAGUAGUUA